GUGGCAGUAGCUCAGUUGGCCAGAGCACUGGAUUGUGGUUCCAGGGGUCGCGGGUUCAAGUCCCGUCUGCCACCCCA
rnacentral:tRNA from 1 species